AAUAUGUUCCGUCUCCACAUUGUUGAUACACAGAACAAGCUUGAGAUCCAACAUGGCUUGCCAAGCAAAAGCUAUCACCCUUCUUCUAUCCAUCUUAGCUGUCUCCUUCUGCAAACCCUCAAAUGGUGCAGGCAUCGCCAUCUACUGGGGUCAAAAUGGCAAUGAAGGCAGCUUAGCUGAUACUUGUAACUCAGGAAACUAUCAAUUUGUGAACGUAGCUUUCCUAUCUAGUUUCGGCAAUGGCCAAUCUCCGGUGCUGAACCUAGCAGGCCAUUGUGAUCCCAACGCCGGUACUUGCACCGGCAUAAGCAAUGACAUUAGAUCUUGUCAAAAUCAAGGAAUCAAGGUGCUGCUUUCCAUUGGAGGUGGUGCAGGCGGCUACUCCCUUUCAUCGGCCGACGAUGCAGGGCAAGUUGCAAACUAUAUCUGGAAUAACUUCCUUGGUGGUCAGUCCAGCUCACGUCCGCUAGGCGAUGCCAUCUUAGACGGGGUUGAUUUUGACAUCGAGUCAGGUUCAGGCCAGUUCUGGGAUGAUCUUGCUAGGGCACUUAAUGGCUUUAGCCAACAAAGGAAGGUAUACUUGGCUGCAGCUCCACAAUGCAUCUUCCCUGAUGCUAAUCUAGACACUGCAAUCAAAACUGGCCUGUUUGAUUACGUGUGGGUUCAAUUCUAUAACAAUCCUCCAUGUCAAUACGUAAAUGAUGCUACCGGUCUCUUGAGUGCAUGGAACCAAUGGACCACAGUUCAAUCCAAUCAAAUAUUCCUGGGACUACCUGCUGCUCCGGAGGCAGCCCCCAGUGGUGGAUUCAUCCCUGCUGAUGUGCUCAUUUCUCAGGUCCUUCCAUCUAUCAAGGGUUCACCAAAGUAUGGAGGCGUUAUGCUCUGGAGCAAGCAGUAUGACAAUGGGUAUAGUGCAGCUAUAAAGGGCAGUGUCUGAAUUUUUUUCAGCCCUGCUGUUCCCCAUGAUGUGUGCUCCUGAUUCCUGAAUAAAUUUGAUAUGUGUACAUGCCACAAUAUGUUUGUUCUAAAGAGUGUAUGCGGCGAUCAAAAUAUUAUGUUUACUUAAAUUUCAAGCUAAAUAAAACGAAAUUAUAGUUCUCUGACAAGGAAAAUAAUAUAAUAAAUUUACCAGUGAGUUCCUUAUAGUGUUUUUUUUUUUUUUCCAUGAAGCUCAACAAAAGUCUUGUGCUUGUGGAGUAACUUUAUGCCUUCCAAGGUGUUACAAUUUUUUAUGACUUGUUCAAAUAACCGAGAGUCUUCAAAACUCAACUGGGGUGUCUAAAUUUUUCCACUCGAUCCAUGAAUGCAAAUCCCUUGAUAUAUUAAUUUGCUGACAUUUUCAAAGGCAAAAUGUGAAAGAAAGAUAAGUUGUCAAACAAAUGAAUAUUGAAUCCAUGAGAUUAAGGUUAACAGAAAUAAAACUCGUUUUAAUGGAGGAGAAACAAGAAAUGGAAAUGUAAUAAUCAAUUAUUUAGGUUAAAAUUAAUGCACCAUUUUAUUUAAAUUAAACAGCGGAUAAUUUCCUUUUAAACCCACAAUUUAAUAUCCCAAAAAUAGUAGAUACUAAAAUCUAGCAAUAAAUUAAUCAUUUGCUUUAAUCAAAAUAAGAACUAUUCUAAAAUCUAAAUAAGGUUUUUGCUAUAACCCAAGCAAUUUUAUUAUGAAAAGAAACUAUAUAAAUAUAUAUUAAAUAAGGAAACCAGUUUUAAAAAUAAUAAUUUGAUUAUACAAAUACAACCAUGACGGGAAAAAAUAGCAGUUCAUACAUAUGCUUUUAAAAAAUUAUGUAUGUAUUAAAUUUUAUUAGUUACCAAUUACCAAAGCUUUAGUCAUUUCAACAAUAGUUUUAAUAUUUUCAGAUUUAGUUAUAAAAAUAGGUAAAUAGUUAAUUUUAACAAUGAAUUGUUUAAAACAAAAGACAUAUAUUCAUCCAGUAAUUCAAUAAUAAUGUUACUUCAUCAUAGUUGUUAAACAUGCAUAUCUACUCAUGUUCUGGCCUUUUCUUUAAGUAGCGAUUCAUCUCGUUUACACUCAGUGACGUUUGAACUUCAAUCUUAUCCAGCUAACACCUAAAUGCUCCUUGACUCAGCUAAGUUGCCUAUCCGCCCCGUCCUUUAUUUUUUUAUUUUCUAAGUUAAUAGAUGAUUUUCUAGCAUAAUUGAAGUCAAUGGAAAAGAUAGCACGGAGCUUUAGGAAACUACUAUUAUUAAACCCGUCUUAACUUGGUGUAUUGACUCAGUUAAGAAAAGAUGUUUUAGUUAAAAAACAAAGACCUUAAAAUAUUGUCGUUUUAAAUUUAUUCCAGUUAAUUAGAAUUCGUUGAAUCUUUAAAUUAAAUUAUUUUUUAAAAUAUUUUUUUAUUUAUAAAAAUAUUAAAAUAAUAUUUGUUAUUUUUAAAAUUUAUUUUCCAUACAACAUAUCAAAAUUAUUUAAAAUUAUAAAAAUAAAAUAAAUUCAAAAAUCUUUUUAAAAAUCUUUUUAAAGGCGCGCAAACAGUCUCUUGAUAUUAAAUUUGUACUAAGCAAUGCUCAUUUUAAAGAGAGAGAAAGGAGUUUAAUGCAUAACCACUGUAAAAUGUGAAAGGAGUUGUUUUAUUUAUUUUUUUUUAUUUUUUUUAUUAGUGCUGCUUAAUUAACUUCAUGGAAGUUUUAACAUUUUUCACUUGGCUAGCAUCUGUCCCUGGGCAUGACAGCUAGAAUAAUUAAUAAAGUAACAAGUCAAACUAUAAGUUAGUCACUAUUUUUUUAAGAAAAUAAUUAAUUGGUCUAUUUAGGGGUACUUGAUAUAGAGUUUCAACUUGUUUUUAUUUAUUUAUUAUUAUUAAAAUUUGAUUUUUUUCUUCAAAUUAAUUUUCUUAGUAUUUUUAAAUUGUUUUUAUGUGCUCGUUUAAAAAUUAAAUCUUAAAAAAAUUAAAAAAUAUUAUUUUAAUGUAUUUUUAAAUAAAAAAUAUUUUAAAAAUCAACUGUCGUUGGUAUACUUUCAAACACUUUUAUUUCAAAAAUCAUACAUUAAUCUUUUGGCAAUUUUUCAUCAUUAACUUAUAAACAAUAAAUAUAUUAUUUUUCAAUUAAAAAUAAAAAAAUGACAACAAAAUACUUCAAUUAAAAACAAAAAAACAUUUCAUUGGUACGUAAGCGUGUAUUGGAUAUUAUAAGAGUGUUACAUCUUGCACGUAUUUCUUCAAGUUACAAGUUGCUUGACAAUUGAUUUAUAUAUAAUAAGUCUUUCGUGAUUUUAUUUUGUAUGAGUGGGAAAAGUUAGAUAUGUGGUUAUUUGAACUCGGAGAGGACUAAAUUAAAAUUUAAUUAUGAAGUGAGAAGUGAUGAGCCAGGGAGGUAAGUAAAAUGGUAUAAUCUUUUUUAUUUUCACUUAGAAAUUUUUUAAAUACAACAACGUGUCAAAAAAAAUUAUAUAUAAUAUUUUUUGCUGAAAAAAUAAUAUCUAACAUGUGGAGAAGCGUUGGUCAAGUAUCUAGUCAUUGUCUAAAACUGUAACCUCUCUAGGUGAAAAAUCAUAAAUUAAGUAGUUUUAUGCAAAACAAAAAAAAUCCAUAACUCUCAAUUGGUUUAUCAAAAAAUUUCAUCCUCGAAAUUUAAAUUCAUAUCUAUGUAAGAAAAUAAUCCUAGAUAUUUCUUCUUAAUUUCUAACUCUCUCUCCCAGGUUUCUUCUUAUAUUUAAGAGUUUCUCCACAAUACUUUUACUAACAACACCUUUUUAUUUUGUAAUUCCCUUAUACUUUGGUCCAUAAUUUGCACAGGUUGUAUUUCUAUAGUUAAAUCUUCCUGUACUUCAUCGAAUUUGUGGCAAAAUUUAUGCAUGAUCCAAGUCUACUUUCCACGGCAUUAGUAUUUGAUAAGCAACCAACCCGAUUCUUUCUAUAAUUUUAUAUGACCCAAUAUACCUAGGUGCUAAUUUGUCUUUCAUUCCAAACUGAAUCACAUACUUCCAUGGAGCAACUUUUAAAAAUACCAUGAAUGAUAUGUGAUGCAGGAUGAUUGGAUCAAGAUGGAAGUUGUAAUGAUAUAUAAUAGAAGUAUUGUCGAUAACUUGGUACCAACAAAAAUGGAGAAAACUUUGUCAAAAUGUUCAAAAAAAAAAUCCAUAAUCUUAGACAUAUUAUUCAAUACUUGAUAUUAGUAAAGAAAUAUUUGAGAUUUCAUGACAUUAUAAUUUAAGGAUGUUACAAAAACAAUUAAAAAAAAACUUGUUCUAAGUUAAAUUUCAAAUUAGCAAGUUACGGUAAACUAGUUACGUUGUAUCGGGUUUAUGUUGUAUUUGUAAGUGUAGUAAUGAUUUUUUUUAAAGUGUUUUUUACUUGGAAAUACAUGAAAAUAAUUUUUUUUAUUUUUUAAAAAUUAUUUUUAAUAUUAGCAUAUCAAAACAAUUUUAAAAAAAUAAUUUCGAAUAAUUUUUUUAAAAAAAUUAAAAAACACGGCUUCAACAACAAAAUAAAUCAGACUUCCUGCUAUGAAAUUAUUUCAUAGCCUGCUUUUGAUGGAAUCGUCAAAGUGGAAACCGAUUUCAGACUGCCCCAAAAACAGUCCCUAAUCCCCUUUGAUUCCAGGAAACUCACUGCGGGACUUAAAUGGUAUCUGCCUGCACAGCCAAGUCAAAACCGUCCUGGUCUUCCUAUUUGUAAAUAGAGAGGACCGGUAUAGUCUUUAAUAACCAUGGUACUUCAUAUGUUUUUGAAACACAUUUAUUUUAUAAUGAAUAUUAUUUAACUUUGAUUUUUUGUUUUUGAUGUUUAAUAUAAAUUUUAUUUGUAUAAUUAGUUUUUGUUACCAUUAAUUUAUAUAAUUUUAUAUUAUGUAUUCUAAAUAAUUUUUAAAAAACAAAUUAAAAAAAAAACUAUUACAAAGGGUUUUACCGACGAAAUUAAUCCGUCGGUAUUUGACAGUAGCUGCCACAAUUACCAACGAAUUUAUAGAUGGAUAAAUUCGGUCGGUAUUUCAUAUAUUUACCGACAGAUUUCCGACGGACUUAAUCCGUUGGCAUUUUGCCACCAUUACCGACGAAUUUACAAACGGAUAUAUUCGGUCGGUAUUUCAAUCACUCAUCGACAAAUUUACCGACGCAAAGUAGCCAUCGGUAAAUCACCAUAUCACCGACGAAAUAAAAAUCCGUCGGUAUAUUUCAGCGGGAAACUUUUUUUUUUGGCACGCAAAGUCCGUUGGUAAAUGAUUUUUUUGUUUUUCUGACCGAUAUAGCGACAAAAUGAGAUAUCACCGAAGAAAGGAAAGGCUGACGGACGUAUUUCUGUCGGUAAAUAAUUUACCGACGAACUGCUAAUCACACAUCGACAGAAUAUUUCCGUCGGUAAAACUAUGAAAUCUUGUAGUGUUAUAUCAACAUUUCAAAACAAUAUAAAAUACAAAAAAUUUUUAAACAAACAAAUAAAAAAUAUAUAUAAAACACGGUUUCAAUUGGAAAAACAAACAGCAACUUAAUAACUAAGAAAUUCAUAGCCUACUUUUGAUGGAAUCGUCAAAGUGAAACGAUUUCAGACUGCCCAAAAAACAGUCCUAAUCCCCUUGGAUUCCAGGAAACUCACUGGGGACUUAAAUGGUUCUGCCUACAGCCAAGUCAAAACCGUCCUCGUCCUAUAUUUGUAAAUAGCGAGGACCGGCAUAGUCUUUAAUAACCAUGUACUUUUUAUGCAGAAUUCUUCUAUACUUUCAAUGAGAACGGCAGCAAUUUCUUGCCCACAAAACGGUGAUCAGACUUUCUACUAAGAACUAGACACGCAUCGUCCUCCGAAGCUAUAAAUUUGUACCGUUCCAUUGUUGAUACAGAACAAGCUUGGAUCCAACAUGGCUUGCCAAGCAAAAGCUAUCACCCUUUUCUAUCCAUCUUAGCUGUUCUCCUUAUUCAAACCCUCAAACGGUGCAGGCAUCGCCAUCUACUGGGUCAAAAUGGCAAUGAAGGCAGCUUAGCUGAUACUUGCAACUCAGGAACUAUCAAUUUGUGAACGUAGCUUUCCUAUCUAGUUUCGGCAAUGGUCAAUCUCCGGUGCUGAACCUAGCAGGCCAUUGUGACCCCAACGCCGGUACUUGCACCGGCAUAAGCAAUGACAUUAGAUCUUGUCAAAUCAAGGAAUCAAGGUGCUACUUUCCAUUGGAGGUGGUGCAGGCAGCUACUCCCUUUCAUCGGCCGACGAUGCAGGGCAAGUUGCAAACUAUAUCUGGAAUAACUUCCUUGGUGCCAGUCCAGCUCACGUCCGCUAGGCGAUGCCAUCUUAGACGGUUGAUUUUGAAUCGAGGCAGGUUCAGGCCAGUUCUGGGAUGAUCUUGCUAGGGCACUUAAUGGCUUUAGCCAACAAAGGAAGGUAUACUUAGCUGCAGCUCCACAAUGCAUCUUCCCUGAUGCUAAUCUAGACACUGCGAUCAAAACUGGCCUGUUUGAUUACGUGUGGGUUCAAUUCUAACAAUCCUCCAUGUCAAUACGUAAAUGAUGCUACCGGUCUCUUGAGUGCAUGGAACCAAUGGCCACAGUUCAAUCCAAUCAAAUAUUCCUGGGACUACCUGCUGCUCCGGAGGCAGCCCCCAGUGGUGGAUUCAUCCCUGCUGAUGUGCUCAUUUCUCAGGUCCUUCAUCUAUCAAGGGUUCACCAAAGUAUGGAGGUGUUAUGCUCUGGAGCAAGCAGUAUGACAAUGGGUAUAGUGCAGCUAUAAAGGGCAGUGUCUAGAUUUUUUUCAGCCCUGCUCUCCCCCCUGCUGUAUGCUCCUGAUUCCUGAAUAAUGUUUUUUUAUAUAUAUAUACAUGCCACAGCAUGUUUGUUCUAAAGAGUGUAUGCGGCGAUCAAAAUAUUAUGUUUACUUAAAUUUCAAGCUAAAUAAAACGAAAUUAUAGUUCCCUGUCAAGGAAAAUAUAAUCAAUUUACCAGUGAAUUCCUUAUAGUGUUUUUUUUUCUUCUUUUUCAUGAAGCUCAACAGAAGUCUUGUACUUGUGGAGUAACUUUAUGCCUUCUAAGAGUCUUCAAAACUCAACUGGGAUGUCUAAAUUUUUCCACUCGAUCCAUGAAUGCAAAUCCCUUGAUAUAUUAAUUUGCUGACAUUUUCAAAGGCAAAAUGUGAAAGAAAGAAAAGCAGUCAAACAAAUGAAUUUUGAAUCAACGAGACUAAGGCUUACAGAAAUAAAACCCGUUUUAAUGGAGGAUGAGCAAGAAAUGGGAAUGUAAUGAUCAAUUAUUUAGAUUAAAACUUACCGUUUUAUUUAAAUUAAACAGCGGGUCAUUUCCUUUUAAACCCACAAUUUAAUAUCCCAAAAAUACUAGAUACUAAAAUCUAGCAAUAAAUUAAUUAUUUGCUUUAAUCAAACUAAGAACUAUUCUAAAAUCUAAAUAACGUGUAUUAUUCUGUGUCUGUACCAUUUCCUAAAGCCCAAAUGUUGGAGGGGCUUCUUUUAUUGAUAUGGGAACAUUGAAUUUGGGAUCUGCUUUCAAAUUAUUCAUAACGUUCAUAGCAUAUCAAUUUAGUGAACGUAACUGCUCUGUGUUCUGGAGUUCCCUUCCCAUGAAGCCCUCUAUGGAGUAUUGUUUUAUGUUGCCAUUGAAACAGUAAUGCAGAUGAAUAUUCAUUUGAAAUCUAUUCUCUCCCCAUACUAUGUAAACAUAUUAUUUUGAGUUCGCAUGUGCGCUUUUCAUCAUUGAUGGAUGAAGAAGGAUAAGCAUAGCUAAAUUACAUGUUUGAAUGCACACGUUUUCAGGUACCGUCAGAGUCUCGGCGGUGUUGUUCACAAAACCUACAAAAAAAAAAAAAGGAUUCGUUGUUGUUCUCCGAGGAAGAUGAAUUGCCUAAUUCUGUCCUCAACACAUGGUACUUCAUAUGUUUUUGAAACACUUGUAUUUUGUAAUGAAUAUUAUUUAACUUUGAUUUUUUGUUUUUGAUGUUUAAUAUAAAUUUUAUUUGCAUAAUUAGUUUUUAUUACCAUUAAUUUAUAUAAAUUUUAUAUUAUGUAUUUUAAAUAAUUUUUGAAAAACAAAUUUUGAAAAAAAUAAUAUUACAAAGGGUUUUACCGACAGAAUUAAUCAGUCGGCAUUUGACAGUAGCUGCCACAAUCACCGACGAAUUUACAGACGGAUACAUUCGGUCGUUAUUAUUCACCUACAGAUUUCCAACGGACUUAAUCCGUCGGCAUUUUGCCACCAUUACCGACGAAUUUACAGACGGAUAUAUUCGGUCGGUAUUUCAAUCACUCAUCGAUAAAUUUACCGACGCAAAGUAGCCGUCGGUAAAUCACCAUAUCACCGAUGAAAUAAAAAUCCGUCGGUAUAUUUCAGCGGGAAACUUUUUUUUUUUGACGCACAAAGUCCGUCGGUAAAUAGUUUUUUUGUUUUUCCGACCGAUAUAGCGACAGAAUGGGAUAUCACCAACGAAAGGAAAGGCGACGGACGUAUUCCGUCGGUAAUAACAUCGGUAAAUAAUUUACUGACGAACUGCUAAUCACACACCGACGGAAUAUUUCGGUUGGUAAAACUAUGAAAUCUUGUAGUGUUAUAUCAACAUUUUAAAACAAUAAAAAAUACAAAAAAAUUAAUUUUAAACAAAACAAAAUAAAAAAUAUAUAAAAAACACGGUUUCAAUUGGAAAAACAAACAGCAACUUAAUAACUAAGAAAUUCAUAGCCUGCUUUUGAUGGAAUCGUCAAAGUGGAAACCGAUUUCAGACUGCCCAAAAAACAGUCCCUAAUCCCCUUGGAUUCCAGGAAACUCACUGAUGGACUUAAAUGGUAUCUGCCUAGACAGCCAAGUCAAAACCGUCCUCGUCCUACUAUUUGUAAAUAACUUCCUUGGUGGUCAGUCCAGCUCACGUCCGCUAGGCGAUGCCAUCUUAGACGGGGUUGAUUUUGACAUCGAGUCAGGUUCAGGCCAGUUCUGGGAUGAUCUUGCUAGGGCACUUAAUGGCUUUAGCCAACAAAGGAAGGUAUACUUGGCUGCAGCUCCACAAUGCAUCUUCCCUGAUGCUAAUCUAGACACUGCAAUCAAAACUGGCCUGUUUGAUUACGUGUGGGUUCAAUUCUAUAACAAUCCUCCAUGUCAAUACGUAAAUGAUGCUACCGGUCUCUUGAGUGCAUGGAACCAAUGGACCACAGUUCAAUCCAAUCAAAUAUUCCUGGGACUACCUGCUGCUCCCGAGGCAGCCCCUAGUGGUGGAUUCAUCCCUCCCGAUGUGCUCAUUUCUCAGGUCCUUCCAUCUAUCAAGGGUUCACCAAAGUAUGGAGGCGUUAUGCUCUGGAGCAAGCAGUAUGACAAUGGGUAUAGCGCAGCUAUAAAGGGCAGUGUCUAGAUUUUUUUCAGCCCUGCUCUUCCGCAUGCUGUGUGCUCCUGAUUCCUGAAUAAAUUUGAUAUAUAUAUAUAUAUAUAUAUAUAUAUAUAUAUAUAUAUAUAUAUAUAUAUAUAUAUAUAUAUAUAUAUAUAUAUAUCCACAGCAUGUUUGAUCUAAAGAGUGUAUGCGGCAAUCAGAAUAUUAUGUUUACUUAAAUUUCAAGCUAAAUAAAACGAAAUUACAGUUCCCUGACAAGGAAAAUAUAAUCAAUUUACCAGUGAAUUCCUUAUAGUGUUUUUUGUUCUUUUUUCUUGUUCAUCACGCUCAACAAAAGUCUUGUGGUUGUGGAGUAACUUUAUGCCUUCUAAGGUGUUGACAAUGUUUUAUGAG
rnacentral:lncRNA from 1 species